AGUGGAAUUGCUGAUUAUAUGGUAACUCUGUGUUUAACUUUUUGAGGAACUGUCAAACUGUUUUCCAAAGUGGCUGUACCAUUUUGCAUUCCCAACAGCAAU
rnacentral:pre_miRNA from 1 species